rnacentral:rRNA from 1 species
UAUCUCUGUAGAGUCUGCAUAUCAAUAAGCGGAGGAAAAGAAACUAACUAGGAUUCCCUCAGUAACGGCGAGUGAAGCGGGAAGAGCUCAAAUUUGAAAUCUUCAAGGUUCUACCUUGACGAAUUGUAGUUUAAAGAAGUGUUUUCUGUUGGAGUUUUGGUAAAAGUUCUUUGGAAUAGGACAUCAUAGAGGGUGAGAAUCCCGUAUUUGACCAUUAUUUCCAGCUGUGUGAUACACUUUCAACGAGUCGGAUUGUUUGGGAAUGCAGUCCAAAAUGGGUGGUAAAUUUCAUCUAAAGCUAAAUAUUGGCGAGAGACCGAUAGCGAACAAGUACCGUGAGGGAAAGAUGAAAAGAACUUUGAAAAGAGAGUUAAACAGUACGUGAAAUUGUCAAAAGGGAAGCGUUUGACACCAGUGUUGUUUUUCCGAAAAUCAAUUACGAAUGUUUUAUUUUUGAGGAGUUAUGACUUCAUCGGCUUGCUCCUUUCUUUACGAAACUUUCUUAAUGCACUUUUCGGUUAACAAGUCAACAUCAAUUUCUUUUGUUGUAAAAGGGUCAUUGGAAGGUGGCUUUCUUUUCGGAGAAAGUGUUUAUAGCCUUUGAUCUCUGCAACCGGAGAGACUGAGGUCUGCAGCGUAGACUCUUCGGGGUUAGAUACAUUUGUGCUAAGCUAUAGCUUUUUAUAGACAACUUGUUGACUAUAUUUAGUCUUGUGGCUUACUCGCUUAUGCUAUUUUACCUACGCUUAGGAUGUUGAGUAGCGACAUACGCAC